CACUAAACAAUAGAAAAUCUGCUAAACUGAAUGUUGUUACACCAGAUUUCUACCUUAAUAACUAGCAUGAAUUAAGUACUACAAAAAUGUUGUACAAAAAAAUAAAUAAAUGUUUUUCGCCAUUGGUAGUAAAAUAAAUGCAUUUAUUGUUUUUGAUGGAUAAUUUUCUACUGAUAUGCAUUUGAGGAACUUGCUACUUUACUCAUCAUAUGCUUAGUAUGUGAUAUUUACAUAAAC